UAGUUCUAGUGAUCUGGUUACUUUUCAUAAUUUUCAUAAGAUAUGAUAAUUAUUUAAAAAUG
rnacentral:rRNA from 1 species